rnacentral:lncRNA from 1 species
AUAAGUCCGGAGUUCUCCUCAGACCCGGUCUCCCAGGCUGUAGCGUAAGCUUCUCAGCACUCCGUGUCAAAAAACCCGUUGCUUUUCUGUGGCUUGUCCUUCGCCUCUCUUCACUAACUCCACGCAGCCUGACAGGGUUCGUGCCUCUUUAGAUCAGCCCUAGUGAACCUCUUUUAACUGUCCCGAGAAUCAUUAGAUGGACCUUCUGUGUUUAGUCUCACCUGAAAGAGCACAGGAAUAAUUAACGAACUAAUAUACGCGCAGAGCUUAACGAUUACCUUUGGCUCUCCAAAGCCUUGAUACCACCAGAGUGAAAGAAAUAUGGGAAAUCUUGUGACCUUGGACAGAAGGAGAAAGUGAUACCACGAAAAACGUGA